ACUCAAAUGAAUUGACGGGGGCCCGCACAAGCGGUGGAGUAUGUGGUUUAAUUCGAAGCAACGCGAAGAACCUUACCAGCUUUUGACAUGGGAAGUAUAGGAAUCAGAGAUGAUUUCUUUCAGUUCGGCUGGCUUCCACACAGGUGCUGCAUGGCUGUCGUCAGCUCGUGUCGUGAGAUGUUGGGUUAAGUCCCGCAACGAGCGCAACCCUCACUGUUAAUUGCCAUCAGGUUGGGCUGGGCACUUUAACGGAACUGCCGGUGAUAAGCCGGAGGAAGGUGGGGAUGACGUCAAGUCCUCAUGGCCCUUAUAGGCUGGGCUACACACGUACUACAAUGGUGGUGACAGAGGGCAGCGAAGGAGUAAAUCUGGAGCGAAUCCCUAAAAGCCAUCUCAGUUCGGAUUGUCCUCUGCAACUCGAGGGCAUGAAGUCGGAAUCGCUAGUAAUCGCGGAUCAGCAUGCCGCGGUGAAUACGUUCACGGGCCUUGUACACACCGCCCGU
rnacentral:rRNA from 1 species